GUGCUUGCUUUGGCAGCACAUACACUAAAAUUGGAGUGAUACAGAGAAGAUUAGCAUGGACCUGCACAAAAAAAAGUUCAUCUCUAGCUCCUUUUUUUUUUUUU
ensembl:snRNA U6 U6 spliceosomal RNA